rnacentral:rRNA from 1 species
UGAACUGNCAAGCUAGAGUGUGUCAGAGGGGGGUAGAAUUCCACGUGUAGCAGUGAAAUGCGUAGAGAUGUGGAGGAAUACCGAUGGCGAAGGCAGCCCCCUGGGAUAACACUGACGUUCAUGCUCGAAAGCGUGGGUAGCAAACAGGAUUAGAUACCCUGGUAGUCCACGCCCUAAACGAUGUCAAUUAGCUGUUGGGCAACUUGAUUGCUUAGUAGCAUAGCUAACGCGUGAAAUUGACCGCCUGGGGAGUACGGUCGCAAGAUUAAAACUCAAAGGAAUUGACGGGGACCCGCACAAGCGGUGGAUGAUGUGGAUUAAUUCGAUGCAACGCGAAGAACCUUACCUGGUCUUGACAUGUACGGAAUCUCUCAGAGACGGGAGAGUGCCUUCGGGAACCGUAACACAGGUGCUGCAUGGCUGUCGUCAGCUCGUGUCGUGAGAUGUUGGGUUAAGUCCCGCAACGAGCGCAACCCUUGUCAUUAGUUGCCAUCAUUUAGUUGGGCACUCUAAUGAGACUGCCGGUGACAAACCGGAGGAAGGUGGGGAUGACGUCAAGUCCUCAUGGCCCUUAUGACCAGGGCUUCACACGUCAUACAAUGGUCGGUACAGAGGGUCGCCAAGCCGCGAGGUGGAGCCAAUCUCACAAAACCGAUCGUAGUCCGGAUUGCACUCUGCAACUCGAGUGCAUGAAGUCGGAAUCGCUAGUAAUCGCAGGUCAGCAUACUGCGGUGAAUACGUUCCCGGGUCUUGUACACNCCGCCCGUCACACCAUGGGAGUGGGGGAUACC